rnacentral:lncRNA from 1 species
AGAAAUCAAAUUUUGCUUCUUUCCCUUUUCUUCUUCAAUAGUACAAGUAAAUCCAGAGUGUAUCAUGGCGCAUUGAGUCCAACUAAAUUUCACAAAUUCAGAAAACUUGAGGUCUGCUCCAUAUACAUAACACCUCAAACCAAAAUCAUGCACGAAAGGAUAACCAUCAAACGUCUUUCCAUUUCGCACAUGCCUCUCAACCAUAGGUAACUAAUUACAACAAAAUUUUUGGAGAAUGCCCGGUAGUGCAACCAUGGUUCGACCUGCAGAGACCCCAAAAAACUUCCAAGUUU